UCCCAGAAUUCCUGUGGCCGUGACAAGACUCAGUCCUUCACAGCGCCCUUGAGUUCACUGUCCUAGUUGAAGCGCUUCCCUUUCAGAUGUUUCUUCAGAGUACCAGGCACAUGAAAAUCGCAGGGUGACAUAUUCGGGCUGUAGAGUGGAUGAUCGAGCUGCUCCCACUUGAACUUGGCCAGUUCCGAGUGUGUGAUUCUGGAGACGUGUGGACACGCGUUAUCAGGGAGCAGAACCACACACUCCGGGAGUAGCCCCGGUCUUUAGUUCUUGAUGGACCUGCGUAGUCUUCGGAGUGUCUCACAGUACACAUCGGAGUUAAUGGAUCUCAAAACACAUCUGGAAGGGAAGCGCUUCAACUCGGACGGUGAACUCAAGGACGCUGUGAAGGACUGGGUCUCGUCUCGGCCACAUGAAUUCUGGGAAUAAGGAAUCUUUCGGCUUGUUAAUCAAUGGGAUCGUUGUGUUCAGGCUUAUGGUGUAUACUUUGAAUGAAGUCUUCAUUUAUACCCACAGUAUCGUUUCGUAUCUUUUCGUUUGAACAUCCCUUGUAUAUCAUUCAUUUUUUUUAUUCUACACAUUUAAAAACGCAUUUACAUCAUAGAAUUCGAUGUAAUCAUUUUGUGGAAUGCUUGACCAUUUACCCGGAUUCCUUUUCCUUUUGAGUAUAAUAUUAAAAUCUCUAAGUGUCGACAAUAAACUAAUUUUUAGGCAUACUUAAUAUUUAUUUAUUAUCAAUUAUCAGUAUGAUUAUUUAUUUUAAUUUAAGAGAGAUAAUCAUACAGGUAAAAUAUUUAGUAAUAACAUUACCUCUAUUUUCUUCAGUAAUAUUCGUAUUUUAGAGAAAUAAUUGCAUUUUCAAUAUAAUGUAAAGGAAUAAUGAAUAGGCAUCGAUGUUUGGACUAAAUAUUAUAUUUUAUACCCCUCCUUCAUUAUUACGUACAAACAAGUCACGAAUAUUCGCUUCUAUAAUAUCAAAAAUAGCAAUUUUUUUUAAAAUUCAAAUAACAAUUAAAGCAUGUUUCAUCAUUUGGCAAUGGUAAAAAGACAACUGUUCACUGAGGUAAUUUCCUAUGAGUUCUUUAAAUGCAAUGCUUUUAAUGAAAUUAAAAAUAUUUUUAGUACUUUAAGAUAAUUAUUAUGGAUUAGGAAUGGUUAAAAAAUGAAGAAUAUGCAAUUCAAUGACAUGACCCGGAACCAGAUUAAAUAAAAGUAGAAAAUAUUUAAAAAUACCAUGCGAAUUUUAACAAAUAACUCGUUUGUCUCUAAUUUUCUUCUUCACUCACCUAUAAUCAUUUAUUCGUUUCAUGCCUACAAAUACACAAAACAUUCAGGAAAUAAUGCAUCAUUAUUUAUAAUUCAAGUUAAGGCAUGAUAAGUACCUGAAGAAUCAAUGGUUAUAUCUAUAUGUCUUUUGUAUAAAUAUAAAUAAAACUUUCCGUUCAUUUUAGAGAGAGAUUUUGAUUGAAUUUUCCUUUGAAAAAACAUACAAAUCAAAAGCUGAUUUUUUUAGUCGGAGGGAUUUUCAAACCUCUGAAACCUGAAUUAUUUUCUAUUAUUUAAUAAUUGAACUUUUAUUUAAUUCAAUUAUUUUCUUUAAAAUAAUUGAACUUCUUGCCUGAAAAGCAAUAAGCAGAUUUUAUACUAUUAAAAUCUUCAUUUUGUUUCAGUUGGUGGCCUUCCUGAUCUUGGAGGAGGACUUCUUCCUCUUGCUACAGAUGCAUUAAAUGGAGAUGGAACUGCUGUUGAUCGAAUAGUUCGAGCAUUGUAACAUUUCCAUUUAUCACCACUCUUCAAAACUUUGAAGGAUGGACUGAAAAUUGAGAAAUAAGGCUUCAAGAACUUGGAAAUUUAAUUGAAAAUUGCUCAACUCAUCUAUAUUUAGAUUAUAUGGAUUGUGUGUAUUUUGAAAUUAAAAAAAAGUUACAUUUAAUGAA